rnacentral:rRNA from 1 species
CGCAAGGGGUUAGUAGCGUGGCAAACGGGUGAGUAACACGUGGGUGACCUGCCGUCGAGUGGGGGAUAACGUUCCGAAAGGAACGCUAAUACCGCAUAACAUGCUGUCCUUGAACGGAUGGCCAUCAAAGCCGGGGACCGCAAGGCCUGGCGCUUGACGAGGGGCCCGCGCCUGAUUAGCUAGUUGGUGGGGUAAUGGCUCACCAAGGCGUCGAUCAGUAUCCGGCCUGAGAGGGCGGACGGACACACUGGGACUGAGACACGGCCCAGACUCCUACGGGAGGCAGCAGUGGGGAAUUGUUCGCAAUGGGCGCAAGCCUGACGACGCAACGCCGCGUGGAGGAUGAAGACCUUCGGGUCGUAAACUCCUUUCGAUCGAGACGAAUGGCCACCGGGUGAACAGUCUGGUGGAGUGACGGUACCGAGAGAAGAAGCCCCGGCUAACUCCGUGCCAGCAGCCGCGGUAAUACGGGGGGGGCAAGCGUUGUUCGGAAUUACUGGGCGUAAAGGGCUCGUAGGUGGCCAACUAAGUCAGACGUGAAAUCCCCCGGCUUAACCGGGGAAUGGCGUCUGAUACUGGAUGGCUUGAAUCCGGGAGAGGGAUGCGGAAUUCCAGGUGUAGCGGUGAAAUGCGUAGAUAUCUGGAGGAACACCGGUGGCGAAGGCGGCAUCCUGGACCGGCAUUGACGCUGAGGAGCGAAAGCAGGGGGAGCAACGGGAUAGAUACCCCGGUAGUCCUGGC